UGCGUAGGCGGACUAAUAAGUCAGUGGUGAAAUCUCUCGGCUCAACCGGGAAACCGCCAUUGAUACUGUUAGUCUUGAGUUCGGUUGAGGUAGGCGGAAUGUGUAAUGUAGCGGUGAAAUGCUUAGAUAUUACACAGAACACCAAUUGCGUAGGCAGCUUACUAGACCGACACUGACGCUGAGGCACGAAAGCGUGGGGAGCGAACAGGAUUAGAUACCCUGGUAGUCC
rnacentral:rRNA from 1 species